CCUACGGGUGGCAGCAGUGAGGAAUAUUGGUCAAUGGCCGUAAGGCUGAACCAGCCAAGUCGCGUGAAGGAAGAAGGAUCUAUGGUUUGUAAACUUCUUUUAUAGGGGAAUAAAGGUAUUCACGUGUGGAUAUUUGCAUGUACCCUAUGAAUAAGCAUCGGCAAACUCCGGGCCAGCAGCCGCGGUAAUACGGAGGAUGCGAGCGUUAUGCGGAUUUAUUGGGUUUAACGGGUUCGUAGGUUGUUUUUUAAGUCAAGGGUGAAAGUUUGUGGCUCAACCAGAAAAUUGCCGUUGAAACUGGAAGACUUGAGUGUGGUUGAGGUGAGCGGAAUGCGUGGUGUAGCAGGGAAAUGCGUAGAUAUCACGCAGAACUCCGAUUGCGAAGGCGACUUACUAAGCCAUAACUGACACUGAAGAGCGAAAGCGUGGGGAUCAAACAGGAUUAGAUACCCCAGUAGUC
rnacentral:rRNA from 1 species